GCCAUGCGCUGCUAUCUGCAGUCGACGAGGUGCUUUGUAGCGUACGAAGUAUCCUAGUGGCGAACGGGUGAGUAACACGUUGGUGACCUGCCCCAAAGUGUGGGAUAACAGUCCGAAAGGAUUGCUAAUACCACAUGUGGUCUCUGGGUUUAGAAACCGGUGACUAAAGGAGUAAUUCGCUUUGGGAGGGACCUGCGUCCCAUCAGCUAGUUGGUGAGGUAACGGCUCACCAAGGCGACGACGGGUAGGGGACCUGAGAGGGUGGCCCCCCACAAUGGAACUGAAACACGGUCCAUACACCUACGGGUGGCAGCAGUAGGGAAUAUUGGUCAAUGGGCGAAAGCCUGAACCAGCAACGCCGCGUGUGCGAUGAAGGCCUUCGGGUCGUAAAGCACUUUUCUGGGAGAUGAGAAAGGACAGUAUCCCAGGAAUAAGUCUCGGCUAACUACGUGCCAGCAGCCGCGGUAAAACGUAGGAGGCGAGCGUUAUCCGGAUUCACUGGGCGUAAAGCGCGUGCAGGUGGCUUGGUAAGUUAGGCGUGAAAUCUCCCGGCUCAACUGGGAGAGGUCGUCUAAUACUACCGGGCUUGAGAGCAGAAGAGGAAGAUGGAAUUCCCGGUGUAGUGGUGAAAUGCGUAGAUAUCGGGAGGAACACCAGUGGCGAAGGCGAUCUUCUGGUCUGUUUCUGACACUCAGACGCGACAGCUAGGGUAGUAAGCGGGAUUAGAGACCCCGGUAAUCCUAGCCGUAAACGAUGUGAACUUGGCGUUGGUGGGUUAAACUCCAUCAGUGCCGCAGCAAACGCGAUAAGUUCACCGCCUGGGGACUACGGCCGCAAGGUUAAAACUCAAAGGAAUUGACGG
rnacentral:rRNA from 1 species